UUGUGGUCUAAGCGUUGUAGAAUUUCAAGGAUAAUGGCAGAUAUAUCAGCCUGGUUUUGUAUGACAGGUGAAAUAUUACUCCUCAGGCAACUAAGCUGCCAACAAGAGCUGAUGGUGUUACAAAGAAACAAUGCAUGCAGGCUAUCUUCAGGCUCGUUACAGAAAGGACAAUGCACUGGACAAGUGACUCCUCGAGUUUGCAAACGCACCCGUAUUGGAAGGCAGCCUCGAGUAGCUCUCCAUAAAAAAAAUUUGAUUCUUGGA
rnacentral:lncRNA from 1 species